GCGGCCUAUCAGCUUGUUGGUGAGGUAAAGGCUCACCAAGGCGACGACGGGUAGCCGGCCUGAGAGGGCGACCGGCCACACUGGGACUGAGACACGGCCCAGACUCCUACGGGAGGCAGCAGUGGGGAAUCUUGCGCAAUGGGCGAAAGCCUGACGCAGCCACGCCGCGUGCGGGAUGAAGGCCCUAGGGUUGUAAACCGCUUUUAACAGGAACGAAAAUGACGGUACCUGUAGAAUAAGGUGCGGCCAACUACGUGCCAGCAGCCGCGGUGACACGUAGGCACCAAGCGUUGUCCGGAUUUAUUGGGCGUAAAGAGCUCGUAGGCGGUUCAGUAAGUCGGGUGUGAAAACUCUGGGCUUAACCCAGAGACGCCACUCGAUACUAUUGUGACUAGAGUUCGGUAGGGGAGACUGGAAUUCCU
rnacentral:rRNA from 1 species